rnacentral:lncRNA from 1 species
GUACCAACAUGCCAGAGGCUGUUCACCUUGGAGACCUGCUGCGGAUGUGGGUACGGUCCGGCACGGAGAUCACACUCCCUCACUUGGAUUUUCAAGGGCCGACAGGAGCGCACCGGACAGCGCAAGAGCCGCACUGCUCUACGGAGACACCGUCCCUAUCUCGGGAUGAACCCGUUCCAGGGGCUCCGUCUUCUUAAAGAGAAAGGAAAACUCUUCCCGGGGCUCCCAUCGGCGUCUCCGAGCUGAUUUGCGUUGCCGCACUGGGCCCCCAAGGACCGAUCUCCGUAGCCGGGUUCGA